UGAAGCCGAAUGUCAUCAAUAUGCUAUGGAAACUAAUGUUUUCUUUCAGCAUGACAUUGCUGAGGAUCAGUGUAAAUGAGAAUACAGCAGGAGAUCAAGCAUAGCUCUUUGGGAGACAUCAUGGUGUCUGGAUGAAAAAGAAGCUUUUGAAGGUGUUCACCUGGUGGAAGGAUAAUGUCUGCAGAUCUCAUGGUUCCAAAGAUUGCACACAGGAGCAUUGUAAUCACAAAAUAAGAUGAAUUAAGAAUCUCUGAAAAUGUUAAGGUUAAAAGCCUUGAAUGCUGAAUGGAACAGUUAUUUUUCAAAGACAGUGCUAACUUAUGUUCGACCUUGUGAAAUCAUCCUACCUUUCUACUGAGCAAGAUCUGUAAGUCAAGAAAUUGGGCUUGUUUCUGUUUUAUUUUUGAGCAUCUUUGUGUCUCCAAUUGACUCCUGGAAGGAUUUGUGCCAGGCAUCUUAUUGUUAAAGGCUUUAGUGUAUGCAGUGAGAUCAGUAUCUCAAUCACCCACGGCUGUUUUUGAGUUCUAGCUAAUAUCUUUUCUGAAUCUCUCUUAAAAAAAGGGCAUAUGAUAAGGUGGUGCGCAAAAGGUUAACAGGCAAGAUAGGGGCCAUGGAGUUGAGGAUACCAUAUUAGCAUAGAUAGAGGAUUUGUUAACCAACAGGAAGCAGAGAGCAGGCAUAAGGGGGACAUUUUCAAGUUGACAGGCAGUUAAUAAUGGAGUAUCACAAAGGGUCAGUGUUGGGACCUCAGCUAUUUACAAGCUACAUCAAUGAUUUUGAUGCUGAGGCAGGAAGUAGUGUACCAAAGUCUGCUGAUGCUACAAAACUACAUGGAAAACUAAGUUGUGGGGAGAAGACAAAGAGGCUUCAAAGAGAUACAAACAGAUUGAGUGAGAGAUCAGCAAGAUGGCAGAUGGUCUAUAACGUAGGGAAGUUUGACAUUAUUCACGUUGGUCAUAAGAAUGAAAGAGCAAAAUAUAUUUUAAAAGAUGUGAAAUCUGUAAGUAUCAAUUUUCCAAGAUACUUGGAUGUUCUUAUGCAAUAUGUGCAGGAAGUUAAUGUGCAGAUACAGCAGGGCAAUUAGGAAUGUAAAUCGCAUAUUAGCCUUUAUUUCAAGGGCACUGCAGAACAGGAGUAACAAAAUCUUGUUACAAUUGUAUAGGAAACAAGAAAAAAAAGGAAGUGCUGGAGAAUCUCAGCAGGUCUGGCCACAUCUAUAGAAAGAGAAAAUGGUAUAUUAGCCUUUAUUGCAAGGGCAGUGCAGUACAGGAAUAAAUACAUCUUGUUACAAUUGUUUGGGAAAGAGAAAAUAAAGCCAGUGCUGGAGAAACUCAGCAGGUUUGGCCGCAUCUAUAGAGAGAGUUAAACCAAGUUAAAUUUCAAGUCACUGGACUUGAAAUGUUAACUCUGUUUCUCUCUAUAUAUAUGCUGCUAGACCUGCUGGGUUUCUCUAGAACAGGUAGUUGUCCUGUAACAUGAUAGUUGCGUUCUUGUGCGACCUCACACUAUAGAAAAUCGUGUUAUGGGGAAAUUGCUAUAGAAAGUAGCUAUACUGUACAGUAGAAAGUUCACAUUAUCCAAACAGCAUCCACUACUCCUCAAUUGCAUUACAGCUAAUUUGCGUUGUAGCAGAAAUACCUGAACUUUGUUUCAGAUUUACAGCACCUACGGUUCUUUGUUUUACAAAAUUAUACAGGGUUGUGAUGAGGCAUCUGAAAUACUGCAUGCAGUUUUGGCCUCCCCUUUUAAGAAAAAAUAUAUUUGUAUUAGAGGCUAUACAUCAAAAGUUAAACUAAAUUAAGCCCUGGGAUAACGGGGUUGUCCUGUGAUAAGAGGCUAAGCAAAUUUGGUCUCUACUGUCUAGAGGAAAGUAAGAUGAUUUAGGAUGCAAGAUUACAAGAGUCUGAAAGGAUUUUACAGGGCAGCUGCUGAGAGAUAGAUUCCAUGACCAACAGAAACACAAAUGCAGGAGCACAAUCUCAGGACAAAGGGUUUAUGAUUUCAAACUGAAAUAUGGAGAAAGGAUUAUAAAUUUUUGAAAUUCUCUGCCGCAGUGGAUGGUGGGAUCUCCAGUUAAGAGUGGGAUAGACAGAUUUUUAAUCUCUCGGGAAUCAAAAGAUAUGGCUUCUUUAGUAAAUUUGUGAAAGAAAGGCAGAUAUUUGAAUGGACAUAAGAACAUGCGCAUGCCUUUGACAGCUUGAAAGCUGUGUCAAUAAUGCUUCAGUCUUAGCUGCACUCGAAUCCAUUAUGAAAGUACAUUGUGAGAACCCAUUCAGACUAACUGCUAAUGUUAACGGCAUUGGUAUAAGUGCCACUUUAAUACAAAAAGAUUAAAUAAAGAUUGAGCUGUCAAUUAUUUUUCAAAGAAACUGAAUACACAUCAUCAAAAAUACUCAAUGGUGGAAGAGGAGCCAUUGAAUCUUGUGUUGGCUCUACAUAAGUUUGAAUUCUACAUACUAACAAUGUGGAAGAAAGUGUUAUUUAAUCCUUUGAUUUCUUUCUAUUUUUGUUUGGAGAUAUUUCAAGGCAAGAACUUGUGAUUGCUUCAGUGGAGUUUGGUCCUCCAGCUAUACAAUUUAAAGCAGUCAUCUGCCUAGAAAAGGCAAUGUCAUGGCUAAUCUUUAUUAAGAGCACAUAUGGAGGAACCCAGAUGCCAUGAUGCAAACUGAUUUAAGUAAAAUGUGAUUGCUGUGAAGUUUGUUUUCCAUGUAAAGAUAUUACUGAUAAUGUAAUACAGAAAUAAUCUUCAAAAAAUAAUUCUUCUAUGUGAAUUUUAAUGCCACUUAUCAUUUUCAUUUUUCUUUGGGGUGAGUUGUGAUGAAAGGUGUCUGAUUUAUAUAUGUAUAUUAAUAUCACUUUUAGAGUUUGUAUUUUAAAAUAGCGGUAUAUGGAGUUGGUUACAUUUUUGAAGGGUCUUAAAAAUAAUCAGACAUACCUUUCAGAACACUGGACUAAUCCACUUUGCCUGAGGCAGCAGAGACCCUCUGAACUGUUAAAGGAAGGAUUAUUUUUACUCUGUUGAUUUAUAAUAGAGACACUAAUUUGUUUUUGGUUCAGAAUAAUGAAGGAUUGAUUGUAGCUUCGAAAUCUUGGAGAAGAAGUUCUUGGGAAUAAUAGAGGAAAACUGAUCAGUAGAAAAGUUUGGUUUAUGCAACUUCCAGACUGAGUGUUUAGCUAAAAAUCUGCAGAUUAUUAAAAGCUCAGAGUAUCUCAGCUCUCAGUUUUGAGUAUUCAUGUAAGAUGAUUCCACAAAUUACAGGAAAGAACUGAGAAGAUGUGGUUAAGUCAAACUUCAAUGAUUUGAUACAGAGGGUUAAUUUCUCUGGAUUUGAAUCACUGUAAGGUGAUGGUGUCAAGAAAUAGAUUGAAACUUAAUUUUGCUGUAUGUUUUAAUAUCUUCUUUCUAACAGUGUUUCAUAUCUAGAAAACUUUUUCUAGGUUUUAUUCAUCCUGUUUGGAACACAAAUAAGUGUUAUACUGGGCUUAAAUCAUUAACUGUGUUUCUCUCUCCAGACCUGUUGAGUUUCUCCAGCAUUUUCUGUGUUUGUUUCAGAUUUCUAGCAUCUUCAGUAUUUCGCUUUUAAUAUAGGUGGGAUGUUGCUUAAAGUAUUCAUUUGCAGAACAUUGACACAUGAUAACUUUUUGAAAAUUACACAAGGGGUCCGUAGCUAAAAUGACUUGAAGCACUUUACAUGUUUCCAGUAGUGCAGUGGCAAAUGCAUUUAUUAUUUUAAAAGCAGGGAUGGACAGUUACUGCUAAAAGGAAGUAAGUUGAAUGAAGCUGUGAACAGGUGGUUCCUACAGCUUUAUCCCUCCACUUGGAACUGAAAUUGAAUGGAGAAUUAAAGAGAUAAUAGCAUUAACGACAGUGCUCACAAUGUAUGGAAAGACCUUGUACGUUACAGAAUAAAUGUUACUAAUUCAUGCCA